rnacentral:rRNA from 1 species
GAUGAACGCUAGCUACAGGCUUAACACAUGCAAGUCGAGGGGAAACGACAUCGAAAGCUUGCUUUUGAUGGGCGUCGACCGGCGCACGGGUGAGUAACGCGUAUCCAACCUGCCCAUCACUUGGGAAUAACCUUGCGAAAGUAAGACUAAUACCCAAUGACAUCCCACGAAGACAUCUGAAUGGGAUUAAAGAUUUAUCGGUGAUGGAUGGGGAUGCGUCUGAUUAGCUUGUUGGCGGGGUAACGGCCCACCAAGGCAACGAUCAGUAGGGGUUCUGAGAGGAAGGUCCCCCACAUUGGAACUGAGACACGGUCCAAACUCCUACGGGAGGCAGCAGUGAGGAAUAUUGGUCAAUGGGCGAGAGCCUGAACCAGCCAAGUAGCGUGCAGGAUGACGGCCCUAUGGGUUGUAAACUGCUUUUAUAAGGGAAUAAAGUGGGUCUCGUGAGACUUUUUGCAUGUACCUUAUGAAUAAGGACCGGCUGAUUCCGUG